rnacentral:rRNA from 1 species
UACGUAGGGGGCAAGCGUUGUCCGGAUUUAUUGGGCGUAAAGAGCGUGUAGGCGGCCAGGUAGGUCAGCUGUGAAAACUCGAGGCUCAACCUCGAGACGUCGGUUGAAACCAUCUGGCUAGAGUCCGGAAGAGGCGAGUGGAAUUCCUGGUGUAGCGGUGAAAUGCGCAGAUAUCAGGAGGAACACCAAUUGCGAAGGCAGCUCGCUGGUACGUAACUGACGCUGAGACGCGAAAGCGUGGGGAGCAAACAGG